AUGUUGAGAAAAAAAAAGGAAAACCCUCGAGAGAUACCAGAUUCCUUUUGUUUUCUGGAGAUCAGAGUUUUCCCACCAACUUUGUUGUUGCUUCUAUCAUAUCUAUGGGUCCAAAGCAGUGGACGAGGGAUGAUGACAAAAUGUUUGAGAGACUUCUGAUGGAGUUCCCUGAGAAUCGGGUCCUUGCAGAUGUGAAGCACUACUACGAAGCUUUGGUCCACGAUAUUAACCUUUAAACCUUAUCGAAUCGGGUAGAGAUCCUACUAUUAAUUAUCCAGAUGGAAUCCCAUCUCAGACCUAACCCAUGGUGAAAGAAAAAAAAAAGACGGGGAAAACCUUGGACAGAAGAGGAACACAGGUCUUUUCUGAAGGGAUUAGCGAAGUAUGGGAAAGGAGAUUGGAAGUACAUAUCGAGAAAGAGUGAAGAAAAGGACCCCAACGCAAGUUGCAAAUCAUGUACAAAAGUAUUUCUUGAGGCAAGCGGCCGAGAAGAAGGCAAAGUAACGCUCCAGUAUUGAUAUUUGUAUGUUUGCAGGUAGUGGAAUUGGGUACAAGUUCUUCUGAAAACGAAGAUUAGUCACGAUAUUCUCUGCUCCGUAGAUAGUUCUCAUUAAAGCCAGGAGUAUCUAUUUGAGCGUGCACAUUGCUAGAACAAUAUUGUCGGAGCCUUAAGAUGAACAAAUGUGAUCUUCUAGCCUACAUGGUUUCGUGUAGGAGUGCAGCACAAGUUCAUUAUCAUAAAGAGAAGCAGAGGAUCUUACUCACUGGAAAAGCUGUGACUGUGAUGAAAGAGGGACUUUCAGCGGCAAAGUUGUGGCUGAUGAGAUUUAUCAGAUUGUGUAAUAAAGUAGUGACAACAAUAAAACGGCAUUGAUUUCUUUUAGUGCGAUAUGCUUCUUGGCACCAAUUCUCACUACAAGAUAGAUCUUUACAACUGAUCUUUUACGAAAAGAAAGACGAAAUUCUGGUACACUGCAGAAUGCUUAUCGACCACCACGGCCACGUCUACGAACUCUUCCACGCCACGUCUUUGGCCACCUGGUGGAAGCUUUCCUGAUACCAACGAGAAGAAUAAAAUUAUGAGAAUAAGGUAUAACACCGAAAGGAAUGGUUAAGAAUGAAUUAAAAGUUAGAGAAAGACAUGCUUAAUAUGUUGCAUGCAGUUGAUCUUGGUGUGUCUUCGACCAGCAAUGUCUCGAAAUUUAAACUAUCUGGAGAAUAUAACAGCGAAUGUUAGUAUCUUCUGACACU